CCAAGUGUAAUUGCCUUAGUACGGCGAGUGAAGCGGCAAAAGCUCAAAUUUGAAAUCUGGCACCUUCGGUGUCCGAGUUGUAAUUUGAAGAAGGUAACUUUGGAGUUGGCUCUUGUCUAUGUUCCUUGGAACAGGACGUCACAGAGGGUGAGAAUCCCGUGCGAUGAGAUGCCCAAUUCUAUGUAAAGUGCUUUCGAAGAGUCGAGUUGUUUGGGAAUGCAGCUCUAAGUGGGUGGUAAAUUCCAUCUAAAGCUAAAUAUUGGCGAGAGACCGAUAGCGAACAAGUACAGUGAUGGAAAGAUGAAAAGAACUUUGAAAAGAGAGUGAAAAAGUACGUGAAAUUGUUGAAAGGGAAGGGCUUGAGAUCAGACUUGGUAUUUUGCGAUCCUUUCCUUCUUGGUUGGGUUCCUCGCAGCUUACUGGGCCAGCAUCGGUUUGGAUGGUAGGAUAAUGACUAAGGAAUGUGGCUCUACUUCGGUGGAGUGUUAUAGCCUUGGUUGAUACUGCCUGUCUAGACCGAGGACUGCGUCUUUUGACUAGGAUGUUGGCAUAAUGAUCUUUAACCCACCCGUCUUGAACCACGGGACCAAAAAAAAGGGGGGCGGGAGGCGGGGCCGUAAUUCGAUCUGAAACGGAUAGGGGGUCGUACGAUUUGAUUUACAAAU
rnacentral:rRNA from 1 species